CAGCAGUGGGGGAUAUUGCACAAUGGGGGAAACCCUGAUGCAGCGACGCCGCGUGGAGGAAGAAGGUUUUCGGAUUGUAAACUCCUGUCGUUAGGGACGAUAAUGACGGUACCUAACAAGAAAGCACCGGCUAACUACGUGCCAGCAGCCGCGGUAAAACGUAGGGUGCAAGCGUUAUCCGGAUUUACUGGGUGUAAAGGGAGCGUAGACGGUGUGGCAAGUCUGAUGUGAAAGGCAUGGGCUCAACCUGUGGACUGCAUUGGAAACUGUCAUACUUGAGUGCCGGAGGGGUAAGCGGAAUUCCUAGUGUAGCGGUGAAAUGCGUAGAUAUUAGGAGGAACACCAGUGGCGAAGGCGGCUUACUGGACGGUAACUGACGUUGAGGCUCGAAAGCGUGGGGAGCAAACAGGAUUAGA
rnacentral:rRNA from 1 species